rnacentral:rRNA from 1 species
UACGAGGGGGGCAAGCGUUGUUCGGAAUUAUUGGGCGUAAAGGGCGCGUAGGCGGUGCGGUAAGUCUGAUGUGAAAUCUCCGGGCUCAACUCGGAGUCUGCAUCAGAAACUGCCGUGCUUGAGUGUGGGAGAGGUGAGUGGAAUUCCCGGUGUAGCGGUGAAAUGCGUAGAUAUCGGAAGGAACACCAGUGGCGAAAGCGGCUUCCUGGUCCAGCACCGACGUUCAGGCACGAAAGCGUGGGGAGCAAACAGG